rnacentral:lncRNA from 1 species
AGCAGCUGAAGAGAAACCUAAAGAACUAGUAGUUGAAGAAAAAGCUGAAGAACCAACACGGGAAGAAACACCGGAAGAACUAGAAUUUGAAGAGAAACCUGAAGAACCAACUGUUGAAGAAACACCUGAACAAUUAGCAGUUGAAGAGAAAUCUGAAAAACCAGUGGUUAAAGAGGAGAAAUCUGAAAAGGUAACUCUCUUGGAAAAGGUGAGGAUCAAGCACUAUCACAAAGUUUAUCCAUCCUAUUAGUUUUGUACGUGCAAAGAUUCAUAUCUACUUAUCUAUUGAAAGAUUAAGUGAAACUUUAAAUUCUUCUUGCAGAAUAUGUCAGUUGUAGAUUUCAAUGACAAGACUAACAGUGAAAUUCCAUGCAAUACCAACAAUGAUGUUGCCGACUAUGUAUCAGUUGAGGCAAACCUUGAAGAACCAGUAGUUGAAGAAAAACCUGAAGAACCAACGGUUGAGAAGAAACCUGAAGAACCAGCUGUUGAAGAGAAAUCUGAAAAACCAUCAAUUGAGGAGAAACGUGAAGCACCAGCAUUUGAGAAGAAACCUGAAGAACCAACAAUUGAGGAGAAACAUGAAGAACAAACAAUUGAAGAGGAGAAACCUGAAAGGGUAACUCUCCUGGAAAAGGUGAGGAUCAAGCAUUGUCACAAAGUUUAUCCAUCUUAUUAGUUGUGUAUACGAUACGAUUUACAUAUGCUUACCUACUGAAAGACUAAGUAAGACUUUAAAGUUCUUUUCUUGCAGAGUAUGCCAGUUGUAGUCUCGAACGACAAAACUGACAGUAAAAUUCCAAGCAUUACCAACAAUAAUGAUGCUCGCUUUUCAGAAGUUGAGGAAAACCCUGAAGAACCUGAAGUUAAAGAAAAACCUGAAGAACCAACAGUUGAGGAGAAACCAGAAGAACCAACAGCUGAAGAGAAACCUGAAGAACCAGCAACUAAAGAAAAACAAGUGCAGAUAGGGGAGGAAACAGCUGAAGAACUACCGCUUGAAGAGAAACCUGAAGAACUAACGAUUGAACAGACAGAUGAAAAACUAGUUGUUGAAAAUAAAACUGAAAAACCAGCAAAUAAAGAGGAGAAACCUGAAACGGUAACUCUCCUUAAGCAGUGUCACAGAGUUUAUCCAUCCUAUUAGUUCUAUAUGUGUAACGAAUUCAUAUCUGUUUAUCUAUUGAAAUACUAAGUGAAAAUUUAAAUUUUCUUGCAGAAUUUGCCUAUUGCAGACUCAAAGGACAAGACUGACAUUGCAAUUCCAUGCGAUACCAGCAAUGAUAUUGCUGACUAUGCAACAGUUGAGGAAAAACCUGAAGAACCAGUAGUUGAAGAAAAACAUGAAGAACCUGCAAUUGAAAAGAAAUUUGAAGAACCAGCAGUUAUGGAGAAACCUGAAGAACCAGCGGCAAAGGUAAAACCUGAAGAACCAGCAGGGAAAGAAAAACCUGAAGAGCCAACGGCUGGGGAAAAACCUGAAGAACCAGCAGCAAAUGAGGAACCUGAAAAAUCAGCGAUGAAAGAGAAACCUGAAGAACCAAUUGUUGAGGAGAAACUUGAAGAACCAACUGUUGAAGAGAAACCUGAAAAACCACUGAUUGAAGAAACACCUGAAGAACCAACAUGGGAAGAAACACCUAAAGAACUAGCAUUUGAAGAGAAACCAGAAGAACCAGCAGUUGAAGAGGAGAAACCUGAAAAGGUAACUCUUAUGGAAGAG